AACAACAUUUUGAGCACAGCACAGCAAGUAUGGCUUCAAAAAUAUGGUGGUGCCAAAAAUCCGAUGGAGAAGCUCACUAAUUUGGUAACCAAGGAAGACAAAACUCAAAAAGUUGACAAGUCUAUCUCACAACCUCUAGUUCAGAAGUCUGUCUCAGAGCUGAAAAUACCAAGAGACAAGGGUAGUGAAAAAGUGACCUCAGAAGGGCCCAAACCUGGUGAAAGGUGUGACUAAAUAUUCUGAAACCUCUCUGAUUCGUUACUAGAACCUAUUUGUUGUUUUUAACACAUUCGUUCCCAGGUUUAGGCUGCUCAAAGAGCAAGAAGCAAAGAGACGUCGAGAGAAAGAAGAGGAGAGGCAGAAAGCUGAAGCAGCUCUGUCAAAUCAAAAUACAGACAGCGCAGAGGAACAUGAGGGAAAAUCUGACACAGGCGCGGAAGAAACAGGUGAUGGCUCUGCCGCUGUGAAUGGGAAGCCUUCCAUUCAAAAGGACGAGACUACUAAUGGGAAACUCGGCGUUGGCCAUGAUGCAGAGAAACAACAUUCUCAUGAAACAUAGAAGUGGUUAACAAACACCUAAAGGCGGAUUGAGGAAAAGUGAUGUUUCAGGUUUUAGUAUUUGUGCAGAAAGAAAUGGCCAAAUGGUUUUUUGUAAGUCGUGGAAGCUUACUUCACGUUCCUUACAUAUUCUUAUGUAUAAACAGAAGGUUUUGCUCUCAUACGACAAUGGUUUUACUCUAGAAGCCUACACUAUGACACUUGUCUUCAUCUGUUAUUAAAUUUUGAAUAAUGCAUACAGAAACUUUAGAAUGAUUUUCGCGAUGGAUCAAAGGCAACACACGGUAUCCUUCGAUGAUAUCACGUUCUUGGCGUUGUUGUUAAGAAGAAGAACAAAUAGGUACAGCUUCCCAAAUGAUUUGCCCAACGUCAACAUUCAUAAAUAAAUUUUUGUAUUUAUGGAAACACGAUCACAGCAUUAACACGAAAUCAUUACAAAAUCCAUAUUUCCAUAAAUCUUUAUGUGAAACGGAAAGUUGAUAUAAACCAGCAUUCACAAGCUUAACAAAUGUUUCCUUUAAAAAGAUAUAUCAUCGAUCUCUUGCCUAAUAUCUUGGGGAAAAAAAACAAUUCUUUCAAAACCCUAUCUCUCUCUCGCCUAAGCCGACAGACGAUCAAUACCGUCUUCUUGCGCUAUCCGCCUGAAACUAUGUAAGUUAAAUACAAACAAGACUAACUAACAUGUUAAAACGCUGAUACAUACAUUGAUAUACUUGAUUGAUAGUGUGCUGGUUGUAAGAAUCGCUGUGCAAGUCACGAAUGGACAACACACCCUCUGACCAAGCCAUAUCACCUGCAGGUAAAUAAGACAUCUCUGCCGUUACUCUGGAAUGUUCAAUCGGAAGUAAUCCAUAGAUAAAGUUAGGAUGCUAAUAUUAUAAUCCAUUUCGUAAAAAGUUGCUUUAUUUAAAAUCACAUGUCUCAUUGCAACAGCUACAUAGCUUAAUAUAACAAUGCUGUAUAUAUUUUGAUGAAACUUAGUUUUACUACUUAAUUUAAUAAAUAAAUUUUGUUAUAUAUUUAUCUCUUACAAUACUGUCUGGGUGGUUAAUUAUAUUAUUAGUACAAAUUUGGAUAAAAUUGUAUUUAUUAAAAAAACUUGAAAAUAGUAGCAAUUUGAUUUGACAUAUUUUUUUUGUUUAUUGUAUUUUUUAUAUUCUAUUAAAAUAUAAAAAUUAUAACCCGAUUGAUUAGUUUUAGAAUAACAUAGAAUUUAAUAUCCCUUUCGAAUUUAUUUAAACAAGAUUUUUUCUAAAUUGAUAUUUAUGUGAAGGUAUGCAGUAAUAAAUUGUGAUAAUUAUAUUCGUUUAACAUUUAUUUAUUGUUUACUUUAUAAUCAUAGAUGUUAAAUAUACUAUAUUUUUAUAUUUAUAUUUAUGAAUCAUAGAUGUUAGAUUGACUAUAUUUUUUAUAUUUAUAUCUACGAAACUCUUUUAAUAAAAACGAAAAGUAGGAAUAUAUAUCUAUAUAGUCAAUGAUAUAGAAUUCAUAUUAAAAAGUUAAAUAACUAUACUAUUAGAGUUUUGUAGGUAAGCCAACUGUAAUAUAAUAUGAAUUCCUUCUCUUUGUAUGAAUGAUAGAUCUUUUGUUUGCACUUGCAGGCCUAAUAAUUUUACAUAAAUAGUAUAUACAUAUAUUAUCAAUUAAAACACCAUUAGAAUAAAUUAUUUUAUUUUAUGAAUAUUUAAUAAUUAACUAAUUUUUUAAUAUAUGAUAAAAUUUUAAAAAUUAAUAUAAAUAUAAUAAUAUUGAAAUAAUAAUUUAUUUUUCUUUUGUUGAUAUGUAAAGAUAUUUGUUGUUAAAUUUAUUUUAAACUUUUAAUAUCUCUUAAAGAUAUGCAAUUACAAUGUGAUUAUUUUUAAAAAAUAAUUAUAUAAUUAAGAUAUAAUUAUAUUUUCUUAUAUUAUUAUUUUUCUUAUAUAUAGGGUUAACUAAAUAUUAUUUUCCAAUCCACCAUAUUUGAUUUAAACUACUCACUAUUUAUUUAAUUGGUUCGGCACAACAAAAUUUGUUUACAUUCAGAGACAACUAUUAGAAGGUCGGUUCACCGGAAACAUUCAGCCGAAUGACCCAAAAAAUUUAACUGAGGAUUUCUUUCUAAUCUCGAGAUCAUAUCUGUAAAAUAUUAUUUAUAUUUUUUCUGUAACUAUAAAAUAUUAUAGACAACUACAUAUAUAUGAAAAAUAACAGAACAUUUCAGAAAUACUAAUUAUAAGUUUUGUUUUGGUAGCAUUAAUUUGUGAGGAAAUAUAUAUUUAAAUGUCUGGCUAUUAUAUAUUCUGUAGGACCAAAAACAUUAAUUUUGAAAAUAUAUCCCUGUGUGUAAUAAUUAUAGUCGGAAAUACAUGUAUCUUAUUAUAAUUUAUAUUUUCUUUUGUAAAGUUCUACAUAACUUUCUGUCAUACAUAAUUCACGACAUCGGAAACUCACCCAACUGUUGUAUUACAUUCAUAUCGACCAAAAGACAAUAACAUUGAAAGUUACAGACAUCGGUCUAAUAUUUCCAGUUCACAAUUUCUCUCCUUAGAAUUACAAAAUUCUAUUGCGCUUAGCCACUACACCCACCUACGUACCAGGUACGUAAGUUAGCCCAGUAUCAAUUAAAAAUGCCCUUAAUUAAAAUCGCAUGUUUUACAGUGACAUCUCACAUGCAACACAUUCCUCAAAGAAUCCAUCAACUUCAGGAAGGUAUUUCAGUGCGUCCUAUCUCGGAAUGUAUAAGAAGUGUUUGGGACAUCAGAAAAUACCAAACAGAUAAUACUCAAAUUUACAUCGGCUUCAUAUGCUACGACAACCACGUAAGCCUUUUAUUAACUUUAACAUAUAUAUAUAUAUAUGAAUUUUCUAAUCCACCAUAUUUGAUUUAAACUACUCACUAUUUACUUAAUUGGUUCGGCACAACAAAAUUUGUUUACAUUCAGGGACAACUAUUAGAAGGUCGGCUCACCGGAAACAUUCAGCCGAAUGACCCAAAAAAUUUAACUGAGGGAGAUAUAUAUGAGUUUUCAGGAUUUUGUGUCAUACAUAAUUCACGACAUCAGAAACUCACCCAACUGCCAUAUUACAUUCAGAUCGACCAAAAGACAAUAACAUUGAAAGUUACAGACAUCGGUCCAAUAUUUCCAGUUCACAAUUUCUCUCCUCAAAAUUACAAAAAUCUAUUGCGCUUAGCCACUGCACCCACCUACUUACCAGGUAAAUAAGUUAGCCCAGUAUCAAUCGUGGAUGUUUAUUCUAACUCAAAAUCAAUGUGCAGAUGUCGUCGGGCAGAUACUCAUAAUACAAAAAAUAAAUCCGUACCACCCAGAACUCAAUACUGAUGCCAUGAUUGGUCUACGGUUGAACAGGUAAGUCUAACACAAUAGGUAAAAAUGAAAUAAUAAUUCUCUUCAUACAUACACUUCUAUCUCAGGUCGACAAUGGUUAAACUCAUACUGUCCGACAAGCAAGCAUCAAAUUUUAGCAUCUUACAAAACAAGAAGAAAUAGGAAAUUUAAAGUUGUUAUCAUCACAAGCAUAAUUCCUAAACUUUUCUAAGGUAAAUAAUUUUAUUAAACACGUCAAAAAAAAUACAGAUCUAAAAUUUUUUUUAUCAACAGAACAAUAAUAUCCAAUAUUUUCCAUGCAAACUACUACUCAGUUCAUCACCAGCAACAAAUUUCUACUUCAACAAAUCGAUUGAUUACAUAAAGCAUUUCAAAGAAUGAAUAAGAGAUCAUGCAAAAUCAUGCAGCAAAGAGUGACUUUAAUUCAUGAAUUAUUCAGAUUAUUAUUCUUUUUCCCACAAAACUUGAUACCUAGAUUUAUUUACAUUUUAAACAAUUUUAUCAUUGUUUUUUUCUAAUCUAUACUUCUGUAUAAAAUCUAAAACUCAACUUCUGUCUUUCAAUCUUUGCUAAACAAUUUAAAUAUAUAGAAAAUAAAUUAAAAGACAUAAGUUGAGUUUUAGAUUUUUUAUAGAAGUAGAGAUUUUAAAAAAAAUAAUGAUAAAAUUGUUUAAAAUGUAAAUAAAUCUAGGUAUCAAGUUCUGUGAGAAAGAGAAUAAUAAUCCAAAUGAUGCAUGAAUUAAAGUCACUAUUUGCUGCAUACUUUUGCAUGAUCUCUUAUUCACCCUUUGAAAUGCUUUAUGUAAUCAAUUGAUUUGUUGAAGUAGAAAUUUGUUGCUGCUGAUGAACUGAGUAGUAGUUUGCAUGGAAAAUAUUGGAUAUUAUUGUUCUGUUGAUAAAAAAAAUUUAGAUCUGUAUUAUUUUUUGACGUGUUUAAUAAAAUUAUUUACCUUAGAAAAGUUUAGGAAUUAUGAUGAUGACAACUUUAAAUUUCCUAUUCUUCUUGCUUUGUAGGAUGCUAAAAUCUGCUUCUUGAUUGUCGCACAUUAUGAGUUUAACCAUUGUCGAUCUCAUACAGAGGUGUAUGUAUGAAGAGAAUUAUUAUUUCGUUUUUACCUAUUGUGUUAGACUUACCUGUUCAGCUGUAGACCAAUCGUGGCAUUAGUAUUGAGUUCUGGGUGGUACCGAUUUAUUUUUUGUAUUAUGAGUAUCUGCCCGACGACAUCUGCACAUUGAUUUUGAGUUAGAAUAAACAUCCACGAUUGAUACUGGGCUAACUUAUUUACCUGGUAAGUAGGUGGGUAUAGUGGCUAAGCGCAAUAGAUUUUUGUAAUUUUGAGGAGAGAAAUUGUGAACUGGAAAUAUUGGACCGAUGUCUGUAACUUUCAAUGUUAUUGUCUUUUGGUCGAUCUGAAUGUAAUAUGGCAGUUGGGUGAGUUUCUGAUGUCGUGAAUUAUGUAUGACACAAAAUCCUGAAAACUCAUAUAUAUCUCCCUCAGUUAAAUUUUUUGGGUCAUUCGGCUGAAUGUUUCCGGUGAGCCGACCUUCUAAUAGUUGUCCCUGAAUGUAAACAAAUUUUGUUGUGCCGAACCAAUUAAGUAAAUAGUGAGUAGUUUAAAUCAAAUAUGGUGGAUUAGAAAAUUCAUAUAUAUAUGUAUAUGUUAAAGUUAAUAAAAGGCUUACGUGGUGGUUGUAGCACAUGAAGCCAAUGCAAAUUUGAGUAUUAUCUGUUUGGUGUUUUCUGAUGUCCCAAACACUUUUUAUACAUACCGUGCUAGGACGCACUGAAAUACCUUUCUGAAGUUGGUGGAUUCUUUGAGGAAUGUGUUGCAUGUGAGAUGUUACUGUAAAACAUGUGAUUUUAAUUAAAGGCAUAUGUUCUUUAGAACUUUACAAAAGAAACUAUAAAUUGUAAUAAGAUACAUGUAUUCCAACUAUAAUUAUUACACACAGAGAUAUAUUUUCAAAAUUUAUUUUUUUCGUCUUACGGAAUAUAUAAUAGCCAGACAGUUAAAAUAUCUAUAUUUCUUCACAAAUUAUAUGGAUCCUUUAAGCAGCAUUGAAAUUGAUGGUGUACCAAUUAUUAUAUGAUGUCUAUUCUCAGAGUGAUGAUCCGGCCAUGAAGAGCUCACAAGCAGUGACGAAGUUUCUCCCGCUGAUGAUUGGCUAUUUUGCACUCUCAGUUCCUUCUGGUUUAAGUCUUUACUGGUGAGAGCUCACCAGCGGCUAGUCUUGAAUAUUUUCGCGUGGGGAGUGAACACUCCACUUGCUUUUCUUCUCACUUUUGAAGAGUGCGUUUGCAGGUUGACCAACAACAUUUUGAGCACAGCACAGCAAGUAUGGCUUCAAAAAUAUGGUGGUGCCAAAAAUCCGAUGGAGAAGCUCACUAAUUUGGUAACCAAGGAAGACAAAACUCAAAAAGUUGACAAGUCUAUCUCACAACCUCUAGUUCAGAAGUCUGUCUCAGAGCUGAAAAUACCAAGAGACAAGGGUAGUGAAAAAGUGACCUCAGAAGGGCCCAAACCUGGUGAAAGGU
rnacentral:lncRNA from 1 species